rnacentral:rRNA from 1 species
UACGUAGGGGGCAAGCGUUGUCCGGAUUUAUUGGGCGUAAAGAGCGUGUAGGCGGCUGGGUAGGUCCGUUGUGAAAACUCGAGGCUCAACCUCGAGACGCCGAUGGAAACCCCCCAGCUAGAGUCCGGAAGAGGAGAGUGGAAUCCCUGGUGUAGCGGUGAAAUGCGCAGAUAUCAGGAAGAACACCCGUGGCUAAGGCGGCUCUCUAGUACGGUACUGACGCUGAGACGCGAAAGCGUGGGGAGCGAACAGG